UACGGAGGAUGCAAGCGUUAUCCGGAUUUAUUGGGUUUAAAGGGUGCGUAGGCUGUCUGUCAAGUCAGGGGUGAAAUGCCACAGCUUAACUGUGGAACUGCCUUUGAUACUGGCAGGCUGGAAUACGGAUGCCGUGGGAGGAAUGAGUAGUGUAGCGGUGAAAUACAUAGAUAUUACUCAGAACACCGAUUGCGUAGGCAUCUCACGAAUCCGUCAUUGACGCUGAGGCACGAAAGCGUGGGGAUCAAAC
rnacentral:rRNA from 1 species